rnacentral:rRNA from 1 species
GAUGAACGCUGGCGGCGUGCCUAAUACAUGCAAGUCGAGCGAACAGACGAGGAGCUUGCUCCUCUGACGUUAGCGGCGGACGGGUGAGUAACACGUGGAUAACCUACCUAUAAGACUGGGAUAACUUCGGGAAACCGGAGCUAAUACCGGAUAAUAUAUUGAACCGCAUGGUUCAAUAGUGAAAGACGGUUUUGCUGUCACUUAUAGAUGGAUCCGCGCCGCAUUAGCUAGUUGGUAAGGUAACGGCUUACCAAGGCAACGAUGCGUAGCCGACCUGAGAGGGUGAUCGGCCGCACUGGAACUGAGACACGGUCCAGACUCCUACGGGAGGCAGCAGUAGGGAAUCUUCCGCAAUGGGCGAAAGCCUGACGGAGCAACGCCGCGUGAGUGAUGAAGGUCUUCGGAUCGUAAAACUCUGUUAUUAGGGAAGAACAAAUGUGUAAGUAACUAUGCACGGAUUGACGGUACCUAAUCAGAAAGCCACGGCUAACUACGUG